rnacentral:misc_RNA from 1 species
AAUUUUAAAAGUGAAUUAAAUAAUUUUAAAAUUUAAAUAUUGUCACAUUACGGAAAAUAAAUAUAAUAUUACAAAGGUCCAUAAAUAAAAAUUAGCAAUUGUGGAUAAGCUGAGGAUAGGGCUACAAACAACAUUCAUUCAUUCAUCCAAUGAAAAUGGCAGAAGCUUGACACCUCAUCAACUACAACCACUAGUUUGCAAGCAAUAGAUACUCCUUUAGGCUUUAGCUUUAGCUCUGUUUCCGCAAAUUUGUAGAUUCCUCUGUAGAGGCAUAGGCACCUUUACCAAAAACAAUCAAAUGGCUUCUCCAAUGGCCAGCCAACUCAAGAGCAGCUUUGCCUCAUCUGUAGUUACCAGGGCCCUGGUUGUUCCCAGAGGCAUUUCUGGAGCUCAUUCGGAGUCUCACCCGCCAAGAGAUCCUUCACAGUCAAGGCCGUUCAGGCUGAGAAGGUAACUAGUGCUUGCCUUCUUCUACUUUGUGCUACUUUUACUUGGUAUUCAUUGAGAAUGGUAGAGGAAAGCUGUACUGAUAAAUUUGUUUGAUUCUGAAGCCCACUUUUCAAGUGAUUCAACCAAUCAAUGGAGACCCCUUCAUAGGAAGCCUAGAGACUCCAGUAACAUCAAGCCCAUUUAUAGCCUGGUACCUCUCCAAAUUACCAGCCUACAGAACAGCAGUGAGUCCACUGCUCAGGGGAAUUGAGGUGGGGCUGGCCCACGGGCUAUUGUUGGUAGGCCCAUUUGUGAAGGCAGGUCCAUUGAGGAACACAGAGUAUGCAGGAGCAGCAGGGUCAUUGGCAGCAGGAGGACUAGUUGUGAUUCUGAGCAUAUGCUUGACAAUGUAUGGAAUAGCUUCAUUCAAUGAAGGAGUGUCAUCAACAGCACCUAGCCUUACCUUGACUGGAAGAAAGAAGGAGCCUGACCAGGUACAAACAGCUGAUGGUUGGGCCAAAUUCACUGGAGGGUUUUUCUUUGGUGGAAUUUCUGGUGUCAUUUGGGCUUACUUUCUUCUCUAUGUCCUCAACCUCCCUUACUUUGUUAAGUAGAGGGUUUUCAAUAGUUUUGUUUAUGUGAAUUGUCUCUCUCUCAAUCUCUCUGUCAAUGUAUAUCAUCUGCCUGUCUGGCUUUAGACAUUUGCAAAUGAAAACUGCUUAUCUGU